GCUUAUUUCACUGAGCAUAAUGUCCUCGAGGUUCAUCCAUAUCGUAGCACGUGUCAGUACUCCCUUCUUCAAGGCUGAAUAACAUUCCGUUGUGCGUAUACAUCACACAUUCCGUUUAUCCAUUCAUCUGUGGAUGGAUGCUUGGGUUGCUUCUAUCUUUUGGCUGUUGUGAACAGUGCUGCUAUGAACAUAUCUCUUUGAGACCCUGCUUUCAAUGGUUUGGGUUCCAUAAGUGGAAUUACUGCAUCAUAUAGUAAUUGUAUAUUUUUCUGAGGAACCUCCAUAGUGGCUGCACCAUUUUACAUUCCCACCAACAGUGCACGAGGGAUCCUAUUUCGCCACAUCUUCACCAACAUGUUUUCUGGUUUUGCUUUUUUUU